CCAGCGCACACACAAGAAAGUUAGAUUGAUUCCUUCCAUUCCUUUCGUUCUUUUUUUGUCUUUUUUGUCUUCUUACUUGCAGCAAAGUAAAUUUAAAUAAAUGGAGUUGAAGUGC
rnacentral:ribozyme from 1 species